GGAAUAUUGCACAAUGGGGGAAACCCUGAUGCAGCGACGCCGCGUGAGUGAAGAAGUAUUUCGGUAUGUAAAGCUCUAUCAGCAGGGAAGAAAAUGACGGUACCUGAUUAAGAAGCCCCGGCUAACUACGUGCCAGCAGCCGCGGUAAUACGUAGGAGGCAAGCGUUAUCCGGAAUGACUGGGCGUAAAGGGUGCGUAGGUGGUUUGGCAAGUUAGUAGCGUAACCCCGGGGCUCAACCUCGGAACUACUACUAAAACUGUCGGACUUGAGUGCAGGAGGGGCAAUUGGAAUUCCUAGUGUAGCGGUGGAAUGCGUAGAUAUUAGGAGGAACACCAGUGGCGAAGGCGAAUUGCUGGACUGUAACUGACACUGAGGCACGAAAGCGUGGGGAGCAAACAG
rnacentral:rRNA from 1 species